UUCAUUUGGGAGAGAAGCUGAAAAAAGAGAAUGAGAGAAUGAGAGAGAGAGAGAGAGAGAGAGAUGAUUGGGGAGAGAAGGAAGAAAGGGUGUCACGCGAGAAAGCCAAGAGAGAGAAAAGAGAGAAGAGAAGAAAGAAGAGAAAGGCUGGAAGCGAAGAAGGGAAGGGAAAAGAAAGGAGAGAAAAAAGAAGAGAAGGAGGGUGGCCGAGCGGGAAGAAGGGAAGCCGAGAACGGCCGCACAUAGAGAGAGGAGAAGAGAGAUAAUCGUGGAGGAGGAAGAAGAAGAAGGGGAAUUGUGGCCGAGGAGUACCAUAUGUCGGCGGAAUCUAAAAUCAAGGUUGUUCAGGUUUUUCGAGCACCGCAACGCACCCGAGCUAGGUGCAUUCCUUUUCUUCUUUUGGUUUGUGUUUUUGGCCAAAUGAGCGUUCACCUGUGUGUGUGUGUGUGCAGGUUUGGGAGCUAAAGGACCGCGAGGUGGCUGAGAAGAGACCACCGGGAGCCAAACCGAGGCCGAAUCGCCCCACACUAGAAAGGUAAAGCUUUUUCGUAUUUUUGGUGGUUGUUGAGUGGCGGUGGAGUGGGGACGAUGUUUGGCUGGCCGUGCGGGCUAGACUGGGCCACCCAUCCUGGCAGGAACUGAGGAGGUUUCCUCGGGAAUGGGGAAAACCCACCCACCAUGGAAGCUAGAGGGUCUUCUGUGGGAAUAGAGGUUGGAAUCGCUUUUUGGGAUUCUGAUUCGCCAUCUGAGAAGCUGGAAAGUCUUCCUUGGAAAAAGGGAAUCCGAUUCGCCGAACGGGAAGCCGAAAAAUUUUUCGAGUACGGAUCCCGAUAAUUUUGGGUAUUUUGUUGGGUGGUCAUUAUAAUCCAUAAUUCGAUUAAAUUAAAUUUUAGUAUUUUGAAGUAUUUUAAUUAAUUUAUGUCGUGUGUAUAGGAAAUUAGAACAUUCAGGUGGAUCUGUAAAAACGCGUAGGAGUGUAAGUAUUUCUAAAUCUCAAUAGGAUUUGAAUUUUGAAAAGUGCAUUCAUUUUAUAAAAAUGCUUAAUUUUAAAAUUUCAAUGGACAUUAAUCCAAUUUUAGAUGAAAAAUAAAAUUCAAAUUAUGAUCAGUAAAUUUAAGCAAUUGGAACCUUAUGAGGAGACGAAACCAGAAAACAGACCCAAUGGACUGUGAGUUAUUUGAACUGAUGAAAUACAAAAUUAAAAACUUUAAAAAUUCCUAAUUAAGCGAAAAAUAGAAAAAAAAAAUAAAAAAUAAAUAAAAAUAAAUAAUUGAGGUUGUGAAAUGAUCAUUUAAAUAAAUUAACAAUUUUGGAAUGAGAUGAUAGGNNNNNNNNNNNNNNNNNNNNNNNNNNNNNNNNNNNNNNNNNNNNNNNNNNNNNUUAGUCUGAAUCGAUGAGGGGAGUGUGUGUGUGUGACAUGUUGAAACUGCAUAUGGAUAGAGUCUGAAACCUAAUCCAGACGUGGAUAGGUACUUGUGAGUGUGAGUCACCUAAUAAACAUACCUGCUGUGGCUACUGUUAGAUUUAUGUGUAUGUGCUAUCCAUGCGAUGGAAGGAUCCAUUUUGUCUUUCCUUAAUAACGACAUAAACAGUAUCGCGCGAAGAAACCAUAUAAAUGAUCUUUCGAGUGUAUCUAUGAUCUUUUGUGUGUGUGUGAUUAUGUUUCAAAAUGAUGAUUGAUAUUCAAUGUAUUUAUGACUUUCGAGAGUAUGAGAAUAUAAAUUUGAAGUUUGUAUAUGAUAUUCGAGAGAAUUCAUAAGAUCGAUCAGAAACAUGUGAAAUGGUAAAAAUAAGAACAUGAAUUUGGCACUAAAACAUUUUUAUUACUUUUAUUUCUUACUGUGUGUUUUGUAUGAAAUUUUAUUUGGGUUGAAAGAACAUGAAUACUUAUUGAGUUGGUGAAGCUCAUUAAAUUUCACCCUCAUAUUUUUCAGAGGAGAAUGAAGAGCCAGCACCGCUGUCAGAAGAGUAUAACCUGUAAAAGGAUUCUUUUUUGUAUAUUUUGUGUAUAUUCGAGAAGUUUUAUUUUGUUAUGUUAGACUUUAAAUUCUAACCUCAUGUGUUAUAUAUAUAGUUACUGUACAUAUCAUAUGGGAUGUUAGGUAGUAUUAUAUUUUUUGAUCUAUACAUGUAUAUAUUUUAUGGAUCCACUGCAUGAAAAUGAUAUGAGCAGGAAUUACGCCUCAUAUCGAGCAUCGGGGCGUGACAGGUGGUAUCAGAUCCCACAGUCCUAGAAUUAUCUCUUGUGCAUGAGGUUUUAGAGUUUAAAUAUUGUAUUUUUGCAACUAUUAGGGUGUUAAGAAGUAGGAAAUGUUAUUUUGAAAUGUUCUAUUCAUUUUUUUCUAAAUGAAGGGUUGUAAGAUGAGACGUGGAUAGACUCCACUGGAGCAACCUCCCUCUUACAUGUUCUUACAGAGCAUAUUGACCAGUUGUACCACAUGGUAGAGGAGCUUGUUAACUAGCAUAGAGAAUGGAUACCUAGCCCUCCUCUAAUACUGACNNNNNNNNNNNNNNNNNNNNNNNNNNNNNNNNNNNNNNNNNNNNNNNNNNNNNNNNNNNNNNNNNNNNNNNNNNNNNNNNNNNNNNNNNNNNNNNNNNNNNNNNNNNNNNNNNNNNNNNNNNNNNNNNNNNNNNNNNNNNNNNNNNNNNNNNNNNNNNNCACUCGGUACCUCUGAGAAGGUAGAUUCUAGGGUUUAGUUCACAAGAUAAGAGGCCCAGAAUGAUAACAGAGAUAUCUCCUAAACCACCAUCAACUCUUGAUAAGGCACUAACAUGUCUUACUUGUGAAAAGAAUCAUGGUAAUCAAUUGUAUCAUUGUGUCACUCGAUCCUGUUUCAAGUGUGGUAGCAAACAACAUCUGAUCCGUAAUUGACCAUUUAUGAAGGAACAGCUAGAAGCUUAAAGAUGGGGACGAGUGUACACCCUAACUGCAAUAGAUGUUGAAGUAAACUUAUAUAUGGUUCAAGGUAUGCAUCUUGUCUCAAAGAAUCUAGCAAAAGUAUUAGUAGAUCCUGGUUCCACACACUCAUUUGUGUCACAUACUUUUGCACCACGAUUGGGUGUUACACCUAUUUAUUUGAAGCGUAUUUUGAUGAUAUCCACAUCAGGCAUGAGUGUAUUACUUUCUGAUGUUAUCUAUAAAAAAUUUAUAUUAGAGAUAGCUGGUAGGGAAUUAAAGAUAGACCUGGUACUUUUAGAUGUGGGAGAUUUUGAUGUAAUUAUAGGAAUGAAUUGGCUAGCAACUCAUUACACGACUUUAGAUUGUCAUAACAAGAAGGUUAUAUUUAAUAUCCCUAAUGAAGAAACUUUUAGUUCGUAAUUGAAUGGUGGUAUUUACCAUAUAGUAGGUUAUUUAAGUUAUAUAAUUUAUUGAGCAUAACAUGUAAAUGUUGACAUGGUAGGUGAUAAAGAUAAGAAAAUUGAUUUUUAUGAUGUGUUGGUGGUCUGUGAGUAUCUUGAUGUAUUCCCUGACGAACUUCCAGGAUUACCUCCAGGCCGUGAAAUAGAAUUUUCCAUUGAUAUACAACCAGGCACCCAACCAAUCUCUAUUACUCCUUACAAACUGGUGAGAGCUGAAAUGGAAGAAUUAAAGAAGCAAGUAACAGAACUUCGAGAGAAAUGAUUCAAUCGCCCUAGUGUUUCUCCUUGGGUACUCCUGUAAUAUUUUCCAAUAAGAAAGAUGGAACUGAUUGAAUGUGUAUUGAUUGUAGACAACUAAACCGGGUCAUCAUCAAGAAUAAAUACCCUUUGCCUAAAAUUGAUUACCUAUUUGACCAAUUACAAAGGGCACAAAUAUUUUCCAAAAUUAAUUGGCGAUCUAGUUACCAUCAAGUGAAGAUCAAACCCGAGGAUAUUUUAAAGACCGCCUUUAGAAACAGGUAUGACCAUUAUAAAUUCUUGGUCUUACCUUUUGGAUUGACGAAUGCUCCGACGGUAUUUAUGGACAUGAUGAAUCGGAUGUUUGACCAUUUGUUAUAUCAAUUUGUUAUUGUGUUCAUUGAUGAUAUAUUAAUUUGCUCUAAGAGUCGAGAAGAACAAGUUGAACACUUAAGGCAAGUUCUGAAAACUCUUAGAAAAGAAAAGUUGUAUGCAAAAUGGAGUAAACGUGCAUUCUAGCUCGAACAGAUUACUUUCUUGGGUCAUGUGAUUUCUAAAGACGGAGUAUCUGUGGAUCCAAUAAAAGUUGAGCCUAUCAUAGGAUUGGAAUGUCCUACUAUGGUAAAGGGUGUUCCGAAAAUUUUUGGUAUGGAUGGGUGCUACCGCCGAUUUGGGAAAGGAUUCUCUAAGAUUACAACCCCUCUUACCCAGCUUAUUAAGAAGGAUGUUAAGUUUGAAUGGACCCCAGACUAUGAAAAUAGCUUUAGAGAACUCAAAAAUCGACUUGUGACGGCUCCAAUGUUAAUACUACCUAGUGGAUCAAGGGGUUAUGCAGUGUAUACUGAUGCGUCAGUCCAGGAUUUAGGAUGUGUGUUAAUGUAAAAUCACAUAGUCAUCGCUUAUGGGCCAAGACAAUUGAAGAAUCAUGGACGAAAUUAUCUGACCCAUGAUUUAGAAUUAGCUGCAAUUGUGCAUGCCCUUAGGAUCUGGCGUCAUUAUCUGUAUGGAGAGACAUUGAGAUCUAUACUGAUCACAUGAGUCUAAAGUAUCUCUUCUCGCAGAGGGAAUUGAGCAUGCGCAAGCAUAGAUGGAUGGAUCUUCUUAAGGACUAUGAUUGCAAAAUAUCCUACCAUCAAAGGAAAAGAAAUGUGGUGGUUGAUACAUUGAGUCGCAGCGCUUUCGACAUGAUUGCAAAACUAGUAGCUUCUAAAUGUAAGACUCUAGAGACCUUACAAGAAUUACAAUAAGGUGUUCACAAAUAGUGAAUGUAUAUAACCAGUUUGAGAAUUGAGCUAGUAUUGAUCUAGAAAAUUAAAAAUGCUCAAGAAACUGACACUGUUAUAGGGACCUUGAAGAGAGAAGCUGAACAGAAUUUAAGACCUGGUUUCAGAGUUCACAAUGAUGGGUUGCUUUGAUUCAGAGGAAGAUUGUGCGUUCCUGACGAUCAUAAACUUUGAAGAGACUCAUAUUAGAGGAAGCAUAUAAUUCUAGAUUUACCAUACACCCAGGCAUCACCAAAAUAUAUUGGGGUUUAUGACCUCGGUAUUGGUGGAUUAAGUGAAGAAUAUAUCUUCGAAUUUGUUAGUAAAUGUCCCACAUGUCAGAUGAUUAAAGCUGAACACCAUAAGCUAGAGGGAUUACUCUGACCUCUACCAAUUCUAGAGUAGAAGUGAGAACAUAUCACUAUGGACUUUGUGAUGGGUUUGCCUAGGACUAAAAUGAACCAAACUACUAUCUGGUGAUAGUAGACCGAUUAAUGAAGUCAACUUAUUUUCUGCCAAUGAUAAACUUGCGAGAUUAUAUAUUAAAGAAGUUAUUAGACUUCAUGGAAUUUCGGUAUCAGUAGUUUCAGAUCAAGAUGCUCGUUUCACCUUCAGGUUUUAGACAAGUCUUCAACAGGCCAUAGGCACCACUUUAUCAUUCAGCAUAGCAUUCCACCCACAAGCGGAUGGUAAACGGAAUGAACCAUCUAGACAUUAGAAGAUAUGCUUAGGGCUUGUGCACUAGAGAAAAUUGGGACGACCAUCUAUUAUUGAUUGAAUUUGCCUAUAACAACAACUAUCAGUCCAGUAUUAGUACAGCUCCAUAUGAAACACUUUAUGGCAGACCCUGCAAAUCUCCUGUGUGUGGGGAAUAAAUUAGGGACAAGAAAUUAAUUAGACCCAAAUUAAUUGAAGAAACUACCUCUAAGAUUGUCCUAAUUAAGAAAAACCUUCAAACCACCCAAAGCAGACAUAAGAAUUAUGUAGAUAACUAUAGAAGGGGUUUGGAGUUUGAAACAGGGGAUCAUGUGUUCUUGAAAGUGUCACUAAUAAAGGGCCUUAUGAGAUUUGGAAAGAAAGAUAAAUUGAACCCUUGCUUCAUUGUACCAUUAAAAAUACUGGAGAGAAUUGGAUCGAUUACAUACCGAUUGGCAUUGCCAUAAGAGUUGGCUAACAUCCAUGAUGUAUUUCGUGUAUCCAUGGUACGCAAAUACCAUCCUGAUCCCUCGCAUGUAAUUCAGUAUGAGGAGAUUCCUAUUGAUGAAGAUAUAUCCUAUCAGGAAAUGCCCAUAGAUAUAUUGUACAAAUAGGAGCGGAUAUCGAGGAAUAAGACUAUUUUGAUGGUUAAGGUACUCUGACGACAUCAUUUGCCAACGAAAGCUACUUGAGAAAUUAAAGAUUCGAUACGAGCUCGAUUUCCUCACCUACUAUAUAGAUAUAGCAAUUUGGAGGACCGGAUUUUUAUAAGGAGGGGACAAUUGUAAUAUUCACCUAAAAAGAAAAAAAAAAGAACUGUAAAUAAAAAUAAAAAUUAGAAUUAUGAUUUAAAUGAAAGCAUUUAAGAAAAAGGAUGUAAAAACAUAAAUAAGUGGAAGUAGAAGGGGGCAAAAGAAAUCAGGAAAAAUGGAUGGUGCAGAUCGGACCACUGGAGGAGAUUAGAUGAAGGAUAUUUAAAAGGAAAUAGACGGUCCAGAUGAAGUCAUGAAGAUCCAACAGCUGAGGGAACGGGUAUAAAAGAGAAAGAGAUUCGGGUUUCUUUCAUUUGGGAGAGAAGCCGAAAAAGAGAAAGAAAGAAAGAGGCAAUUAGGGAGAGAAGGAAGAGAGGAUGUCGCGCGGGGAAGCUGAGAGAGAGAAAAGAGAGAGGAAAGAAGAGAGAGGCCGGAAAAGAAGAAGGGAAGGGAAAAAAAGGAGAGAAAAUAGAAAAGAAUGAGGUGGCUGAGUGGGAAGAAGAAAAGUCGAGAACGACCGUGCAAGAGGAGAGGAUACGAGAGAGAAUCGCGAAAGAGGAAGAAGAAGAAGGGGAAUCGUGACCGAGGAGCACCGUGUGAUGGUGGAAUCCAAAAUUGAGGUUGUUUGGGUUUUUCGAGCACCAUACCCGAGCUAGAUGCGUUCAUUUUCUUCUUUCAGUUUGUAUUUUUUACCAAACGAGUGUUCACUUGUGUGUGUGUAUGUGCAGGUUUGGGGCUAAAGGACCACAGAGUAGCUGAGAGGAGACCACCGGGAGCUAAACUGAGGCCGAAUCGCCCCAUGCCAGAAAGAUAAAACUUUUUUGUGUUUUUGGUGGUUAUUGAGCGGGGGUGGAGCGGGGAUGGUGUCUGGCUGGCUGCGCGGGUUUGGCCAAGCCACCCAUCCAUAUGGGAACCGAGGAAGCUUCCUUGGGAAGGGGGAAAACCCAACCACCGUGGAAGCCAAAGGGUCUUCUGCGGGAAUAGAGGCCGAAAGGNNNNNNNNNNNNNNNNNNNNNNNNNNNNNNNNNNNNNNNNNNNNNNNNNNNNNNNNNNNNNNNNNNNNNNNNNNNNNNNNNNNNNNNNNNNNNNNNNNNNNNNNNNNNNNNNNNNNNNNNNNNNNNNNNNNNNNNNNNNNNNNNNNNNNNNNNNNNNNNNNNNNNNNNNNNNNNNNNNNNNNNNNNNNNNNNNNNNNNNNNNNNNNNNNNNNNNNNNNNGAAAAUGGAAAAUAAAAGAAAUAAAUAAAAUAAAAUAAAAGGAAAAAAAAAUAAUUAGGUUGUGAAAUGUUUAUUGAAUAAAUUAAGAAUUUUGGAAUGAGAGGUUAGGGACCUUGAAUAUUUCUCGUUUAGUCUGAAUCGAGAAAGGGAGUGUGUGUGUAUGACUAAAGUUCAGCGGGCAUAGUGAAUCUAGACAUGGAUAGAGUCUGAAACAUAAUCCAGACGUGGAUAGGUACUUGUGAGUGUGAGUCAUCUAGCAAACGUACCUACUGUGGUCAUUGUAAGAUUAUUGUGUGUGUGCUAUCCAUGCGAUAAGAUGAUUCAUUUCGCAUUUUCUCAUAGAGAAUAUAAACGACAUCACGCGAUGAAAUCAUAUAAAUGACCUUUCGAGUUUAUCUGUGAUAUUUUAUAUAUGUGUGAUUAUGUUUUGAAAUGAUGAUUGAUAUUCUAGUGUAUUUAUGACUUUCAAGAGUAUGAGAAUAUACAUUUGAGGCUUGUAUAUGAUAUUCGAAAGAAUUCAUAAGAUCGAUUAGAAACAUGUGAAAUAGUAAAAAUAAGAACAUGAAUUUGGCACUGAAAUAUUUUUAUUGCUUUUGUUUCUUACCGUGUGUUUUGCUUGAAAUUUUAUUUAGGUUGAGAAAACGAGAAUACUUAUUGAGUUGGUAAAAGUUAUUAAAUUUUACCAUAAUAUUUUUCAGAUGAGAAUGAAGAGCCAGUACUGCUGCUAGAUGAGUAGAACCUGUAAAAGAGUUAUUGUUUUUGUAUAUUUUGUGCAUAUUCGAGAAGUUUUAUUUUGUUCUAUUAUACUCUAAAUUCUAAUCUCGUAAUUUGUAUAUAUAGUUACUGUACAUACUACAUUGGAUGUCACUACAUGAGAUGUUAGGUUGUAUUGUAUUUUUUUUAUCUAUGUAUGUAUAUAUUUUAUGAACUCACUGUAUGAAAAUGACAUGAACAGAAAUUGCGCCUCAUAUCGAGUAUCAGAACAUGACAUAUUUAAACGGUAGAAUCUUCUGAAUCAACACAAUGCCUAAAAAUUAAUUUUUUCUGAAAACUAGAUUUCAAAAAUUGUGAUUCAGGGACCAUAUCCGCUUUUAUAUCGACAAACUUUUAUAAUUCUCAUUUUACUCAUUAUAAAAUGAGAAUACUACAAAAAUAGUACGUACACAUUACAAACUAAUACUUAAAUCCAAUGCAUUAA
rnacentral:lncRNA from 1 species